rnacentral:lncRNA from 1 species
GUGGUAUUGGUUAAGGGUCGACGGCGGAGGUGUGGUAUUGGUUAAGGGUCGACGGCGGAGGUGUGGUAUUGGUUAAGGGUCGACGGCAGAGGGGUGGUAUUGGUUAAGGGUCGACGGCAGAGGUGUGGUAUUGGUUAAGGGUCGACGGCAGAGGGGUGGUAUUGGUUAAGGGUCGACGGCAGAGGUGUGGUAUUGAUUAAGGGUCGACGGCGGAGGUGUGGUAUUGGUUAAGGGUCGACGGCGGAGGGGUGGUAUUGGUUACGGGUCGACGGCAGAGGUGUGGUAUUGGUUAAGGGUCGACGGCAGAGGUGUGGUAUUGGUUAAGGGUCGACGGCGGAGGUGUGGUAUUGGUUAAGGGUCGACGACGGAGGUGUGGUAUUGGUUAAGGGUUGACGGCGGAGGGGUGGUAUUGGUUAAGGGUCGACGGCAGAGGUGUGGUAUGGCAGAGGUGUGGUAUUGGUUAAGGGUCGACAGCGGAGGUGUGGUAUUGGUUAAGGGUCGACGGCGGAGGUGUGGUAUUGGUUAAGGGUCGACGGCGGAGGUGUGGUAUUGGUUAAGGGUUGACGGCGGAGGGGUGGUAUUGGUUAAGGGUCGACGGCAGAGGUGUGGUAUUGGUUAAGGGUCGACUGCAGAGGUGUGGUAUUGGUUACGGGUCGACGGCGGAGGUGUGGUAUUGGUUAAGGGUCGACGGCAGAGGUGUGGUAUUGGUUAAGGGUCGACGGCGGAGGUGUGGUAUUGGUUAAGGGUCGACGGCGGAGGGGUGGUAUUGGUUAAGGGUCGACGGCAGAGGUGUGGUAUUGGUUAAGGGUCGACGGCAGAGGUGUGGUAUUGGUUAAAUACAUUGAACUAAAGUGCUAAAGAACACCAACAUAUAAAGUGCUGGUCCCAUGUUUCAUGAACUGAAAUAAGAACAUCUCAGACAUUUUCCAUACGCACAAAAAGCUUUAUUUUAUCACAAAUGUGUUUAUAUCCCUGUUAGUGAGCAUUUAUCCUGUGCCCAGAUAAUCCAUCCACCUGACAGGUGUGGCAAAUCAAGAAGCUGAUUAAACAGCAUGGCCAUCACACCAGUGCAUCUGGUGCAGUUGACAUUAAAAAGGCCACUAAAAUGUGCAGUUUUGUCACACAACAGAUGUCUCAAGUUGAAGGAGUGUGCAGUAAUGUCAACCAGAGGUGUUGAUGUUCAUUAUUCUACCAUAAACCGCCUCCUAUGUCGUUACAGAUAAUUUAGCAGUAUAUUUAGUCGUCUUAUGGCUUGGAUGUAGAAGCUGGGGAGGGGGGGGGGGGUCACUCGGUUUACCGACCUUCACCUCGGUGAUCAGAUGACCGAAGCUCGUGAGCGGGAUCCGUGUCUUUACCGGGGAAGUUGGCAUGGCUGAGGAAACGGUUCACAACAAGAUAACAUUAUUGGCUG